rnacentral:rRNA from 1 species
UGAACGCUGGCGGUAUGCUUAACACAUGCAAGUCGAACGGUAACAGGAGGAGCUUGCUUCUUGCUGACGAGUGGCGGACGGGUGAGUAACGCGUAGGAAUCUGCCCAGAAGAGGGGGACAACGUGGGGAAACCCACGCUAAUACCGCAUAAGCCCUACGGGGUAAAGCAGGGGAUCUUCGGACCUUGCGCUUUUGGAUGAGCCUGCGUUGGAUUAGCUAGUUGGUGAGGUAACGGCUCACCAAGGCGACGAUCCAUAGCUGUUCUGAGAGGAAGAUCAGCCACACUGGGACUGAGACACGGCCCAGACUCCUACGGGAGGCAGCAGUGGGGAAUAUUGGACAAUGGGCGCAAGCCUGAUCCAGCAAUACCGCGUGUGUGAAGAAGGCCUGCGGGUUGUAAAGCACUUUCAAUAGGGAAGAAAAGGGUUUGGAUAAUACCUAAGCUCCUUGACGUUACCUAUAGAAGAAGCACCGGCUAACCCU